rnacentral:tRNA from 3 species
GGAGAAGUGCCAGAGCGGUCGAAUGGCCCGCAUUGGAAAUGCGGUGGUCGCAGGGAUGCGGCACAGGGGUUCGAAUCCCCUUUUCUCCUCCA